rnacentral:rRNA from 1 species
GCUAGUUGGUAGGGUAAAGGCCUACCAAGGCGACGAUCUGUAGCGGGUCUGAGAGGAUGAUCCGCCACACUGGGACUGAGACACGGCCCAGACUCCUACGGGAGGCAGCAGUGGGGAAUAUUGGACAAUGGGGGGAACCCUGAUCCAGCCAUGCCGCGUGUGUGAAGAAGGCCUUUUGGUUGUAAAGCACUUUAAGCGAGGAGGAGGCUACCUAGAUUAAUACUUUAGGAUAGUGGACGUUACUCGCAGAAUAAGCACCGGCUAACUCUGUGCCAGCAGCCGCGGUAAUACAGAGGGUGCGAGCGUUAAUCGGAUUUACUGGGCGUAAAGCGUGCGUAGGCGGCCAAUUAAGUCAAAUGUGAAAUCCCCGAGCUUAACUUGGGAAUUGCAUUCGAUACUGGUUGGCUAGAGUAUGGG